ACGCGGUUGUCAAAGUACUACGCGUCCGCCAUCUUAGUGCUGUCUGGUGGGAUUUUUGCCGGGCUAAAUUAAAUCCCGUAAAUGUGCCCUAGAUUUGUCGUGGCAUAUCAUUUCGAUUUGUAGUUAUACGAAGCACGGUCUUUUUUUUUCUGUGAUCAAAAGAGUUGUUGUUAAAUUCUAUAAUUCACACCGCCAAGUUGAACCUGUGUAAAACGUGACAACGAUUUUUCGAGUUUAUUUGAAUUCUGUCAUCCAUUUUGCGUGUGGUUCGGUGGCACUUUGGCGAGUUUACAGUGACACGGGGUUUUCGCGUUCCUAUUCGCUCCUGUUGAUUUCCGAGCAGUCGCAGACCGUAGAUCUGUGCGAAACGUUUCCCCGCAGCACCCUUGAAGGUCUUUGGAUUUCCACCCCAAACGAUGGCAGACGAAGAUCUCACCCUCAACGAAGACCAGCUCUUGGACAACUCAGACGAUGCCAAUGGCGAAUCUGAACUCAUGAAUGAAGAAGAGAGCAACAUGCAGAUAGACCCGGAAUUGGAGGCGAUCAAGGCACGCGUGAAAGAAAUGGAAGAGGAGGCGGAGAAAAUCAAGCAAAUGCAGUCCGAGGUCGAUAAGCAAAUGACCCUCGGCACGGCGGCCGGCAUAGCUCCGAUUCCGUUGUCGUUGGAGGAAAAGCAGGAAAUCGACAAUCGAUCCGUUUACGUGGGAAAUGUUGACUACGGAGCCUCGGCCGAAGAAUUAGAGGCGCAUUUUCACGGUUGCGGGACGAUCAAUCGCGUGACGAUUUUGUGCAACAAAGCGGAUGGCCAUCCGAAGGGAUUCGCCUACAUUGAAUUCGGUUCCAAGGAGUUCGUCGAGACGGCGCUGGCUAUGAACGAGACUUUGUUCCGGGGUCGACAAAUUAAGGUUAUGGCAAAACGAACGAAUCGACCAGGUAUCUCCACGACAAAUCGAUUCCCACGAGGAUUCCGUGGACGUUCAGCUCGGAUAUCGCGAGGUGCUUGCUGCCACAUGAGCUAUCGCGGCACCAGGCGACCAAUGUAAGAUACGGGGCUACCGUGGACGGGCUAACUACUAUUCGCCGUAUUAAAUAAUCUAAUUAAAUUAUACAUAAGAUUUUAAAUGUUUUUUAAAAAUGAUUUCAAAAAACAUUAUUUGUCUUCACUAAGGAAAAAAUAUAGAAGAAAAAAAGAAAAAAAGAUAAAAACAAAAAGCGAGACAAAAAAAGAAAAAAAGGAGAGAAAGAUUCCACUAAAAAAGAAAAAAAAAGACGUGCUUAUAAGCGAUAGUACGUACACGGCAGACACGAUGCACAUGUUGUUUGAAAUAAUGUUUUUUGAACCAACCAGCUCCCUCAAAUAUUUCAAAUAUCCUGACAAUAUCAAUCAGAAAAAAUAGUAAAAGAGGAAAAAAGAAAAAAACAUCCACGCAAUGAAAAGAAUUAUACCAAAUAAAAAAAGAAAAAAGACGUCAAAAAAUAUACAGAAAAUCAAAAAAGGAAAACACAGAAAACAUAACGAAAGAGACAAAGAAAAAAUAUGAAAAGAUAAAUGGUACAGAAAAAAAGAAAUACUAAAUAUAAAACAACAAACAAUACAGCAAAAUAAUUAUCUACUUAAAAUUUUCAGAGGAAAAAAAACAACUUUUCAAAUCAACAUGGAGAAAAAGUUUAUUGAAAAAUAAAUACAAAUAUAAUCGAAAAA